AGUGAACGCUGGCGGUAGGCCUAACACAUGCAAGUCGAACGGCAGCACAGUAAGAGCUUGCUCUUACGGGUGGCGAGUGGCGGACGGGUGAGGAAUACAUCGGAAUCUACUUUUUCGUGGGGGAUAACGUAGGGAAACUUACGCUAAUACCGCAUACGACCUACGGGUGAAAGCAGGGGAUCUUCGGACCUUGCGCGAUUGAAUGGGCCGAUGUCGGAUUAGCUAGUUGGCGGGGUAAAGGCCCACCAAGGCGACGAUCCGUAGCUGGUCUGAGAGGAUGAUCAGCCACACUGGAACUGAGACACGGUCCAGACUCCUACGGGAGGCAGCAGUGGGGAAUAUUGGACAAUGGGCGCAAGCCUGAUCCAGCCAUACCGCGUGGGUGAAGAAGGCCUUCGGGUUGUAAAGCCCUUUUGUUGGGAAAGAAAAGCAGCAGGUUAAUACCCCGCUGUUCUGACGGUACCCAAAGAAUAAGCAUCGGCUAACUUCGUG
rnacentral:rRNA from 1 species